rnacentral:rRNA from 1 species
CCUACGGGAUGCACCAGUGGGGAAUAUUGCACAAUGGGCGCAAGCCUGAUGCAGCCAUGCCGCGUGUAUGAAGAAGGCCUUCGGGUUGUAAAGUACUUUCGGCGAGGAGGAAGGCGAUAAGGUUAAUAACCUUGUCGAUUGACGUUACUCGCAGAAGAAGCACCGGCUAACUCCGUGCCAGCAGCCGCGGUAAUACGGAGGGUGCAAGCGUUAAUCGGAAUUACUGGGUGUAAAGCGCACGCAGGCGGUCUGUCGAGUCGGAUGUGAAAUCCCCGGGCCCAACCUGGGAAUGGCAUCUAAGACUGGUCAGCUAGAGUCUUGUAGAGGGGGGUAGAAUUCCAUGUGUAGCGGUGAAAUGCGUAGAGAUGUGGAGGAAUACCGGUGGCGAAGGCGGCCCCCUGGACAAAGACUGACGCUCAGGUGCGAAAGCGUGGGGAGCAAACAGGAUUAGAUACCCCGGUAGUC